GCCUGAUUUGCCAUGGGAGGGCUGCCUGGGCUGUCAGGCAGUCUUCCUAAAGAGGAUCGCGGCAGAGGUAAGUAAAUUUCACCUCCUGGGGCUACAAGCCGUUACAGCGUUCUAUGCUGCCGCAAUGGCUGUAAAGCCCAUUUAAAUAGGGUUGGCAUAGAACGCCGUAACGGCGUUAAGGGGUUAAUAAGUGUCCAGAGACAAAGUAAAAAAUAAA